UACUAAAUAUAGAUCUUAGAAAGUUUAAUUUCUUGUUAUUUUUUUCUUAAAAUUUGCAUUCAUAUCAUAUACCUCCUGAUCUAUUGAUCUCAUUGCAGGAUGUUUGCAAACAAUUACAUGCAUGAAUCCAUAGAAACAUGAAGAAAUUUACAGGCGAAGCAAUGAACAGACUAAUAUCUGAGGCGCCCUAUGCAACUGCAGCAAUAUAAUUUUUUACAAGAAGAUCGAUUGAGAAGAUGAUGAUUCCAUUCUUCACAUAGUUUUGGUGCCAUCUUCUUUGGUAACAAGUUUAUUUAGUCGGUGUAUGAGUAGAUCAAAAUCAUCUUGGUUUCUUACAAGGCUGAGGCGUACGUAUCGAUCUUCAGCACGAAAUAUGCUUCCUUCACGGCCAAUUAUAUUUGCUGCAUUGAGGACUGCACUGCAAUCUUUAUCUUCUUUCCUCUCGCACCUCAACCAUGCAUAAGCUGCAGUCAAGAGUACAAGUUGUUAGUGUGGAGAAGUAAUUAAUCAGAAAGAACGAGCUUCUCAAGAUCAGACUAGAGGGACUAUUUGGUUUUAACUUAAUAUAGUAAAUUAAUUACCGGGUGAAGAUUCUCUAAUUGUGCGCAAAAAAGUGCAGUACUGAGGAAGAAUUUUUUGAAGAGUAAAUCGGUUGGACGUUGAGAAA